CAGCCGCCGCGGGAAUACGGAGGGGGCUAGCGUUGUUCGGAAUUACUGGGCGUAAAGCGCGCGUAGGUGGUUUGUUAAGUUGGAUGUGAAAGCCCCGGGCUCAACCUGGGAACUGCAUCCAAAACUGGCAAGCUAGAGUACGGUAGAGGGUGGUGGAAUUUCCUGUGUAGCGGUGAAAUGCGUAGAUAUAGGAAGGAACACCAGUGGCGAAGGCGACCACCUGGACUGAUACUGACACUGAGGUGCGAAAGCGUGGGGAGCAAACAGGAUUAGAUACCCGAGUAGUCCCUGUCUCUAUACA
rnacentral:rRNA from 1 species